GACGAACGCUGGCGGCGUGCUUAACACAUGCAAGUCGAACGGAGUGGCGGACGGGUGAGUAUUACGUGAGUAACCUGCCCUCAAAUGUGGGAUAAGCCUGGGAAACUGGGUCUAAUACUGCAUAGUUGGGGCUGGGAUCGCGGCAUAGCAGCUUGUUGGGGGGGUGAUGGCCUACCAAGGCGGUGCCGGGUUGCCGGCCUGAGAGGGUGGUCGGCCACGUUGGGACUGAGAGACGGCCCAGAGUCCUACGGGAGGCAGCAGUGGGGGAUAUUGCACAAGGGGCGCAAGCCUGAGCCAGCGACGCCGCGUGAGGGAUGAAGUCUUUCGGGUUGUAAACCUCGUUCGGUACAGAACGGGUAUGUGCAGAAGAAGCGCCGGCUAACUACGUGCCAGCCGCCGCGGUAAUUC
rnacentral:rRNA from 1 species